GUGAGUGAAUGGGACAAAGGGUGUGUGAGAGGAAGGAGACUAAGAGAGAGAGUUGCUCUGUUACAGCAGCAGCAGGGUGAGAAGAGGUGAGGCGGGGUGAGACAGCCCUCUCGUGACAAGCGCUACUCUCCCUCUCCGCUAGCUGUAGCUCUCCCUCUGUCUCUGUCCGGCCCCGGCCCUCAGCCAUUUUGGAAAGGGGAGAGAAAAGUGGCUGCUUUCUCUCUCUCUCUCUCUCUCUAUGUCUCUCACUACGUGGCGUAGAUUGGAAAGGCUGGGGCUGAGGCGAGGGCUGCUCUGUUAUGGAGAGGGCGGAGGAGAGGUCCCUGCUGUAUUUUCACUGAAAGAGUCGGCCUACUCUGUCCACCAAGCCUGACUCCAUUUUGAUGCCAGACGAAGAGACGAGGACUGACCAGCCCUUUGGUUCCCACACCAUGUUGGCUCCAGCCCACACCAUUGGCUACCCACUACCACACCACGUGUCCGUCACCGGCUGCGGGCAGCCUUUGCUUCCGGGUAUGCUGGAAUAAAGACCCUAGCUACGGCAAUCGUGCUGGCUUUGUAGUGCCUGUCCAGAAUUGCGCGUUCAUGUGUAUGGGCGGAUUGGAAGACACCAUGUCAGUAGUGGUGGGGUUAUAUAAAUGUGUUAUAUAUUGUGCUAUAUUCAAUUAUGCUAAACCUAUUGCAAAGGUACAAUGAAGAUAAUUCAUAAAAUGUUUAGCUGAGUGGAAAAUGUACGCUUUGAUGUUUGUAAUGGCUUGAUUUGUAUGUUUGGUAUGUUCUUAAGGGAGGGGCUUCCCCCUACAAAAGGAGACUCUCAAUUCAAGAGGGCCUUUUCAUUGAGCUGUUAAUGGGACUGCACUGCUGUCCCCAUAAUGUAUACUUUUGUGGCAGUACUGGUUUCUUUCGGAAUCAUCAUGUAAAUGAACGCCCUUGCACAGAAGUGCUUAUGCAGGUCCGCCAUCAUUUUAUUUGGUACAUUUUAAGUUUAAUUUAAUGUAGGAUUAAGUUGCAGUUAAGGUUUUUCAGUUUAGCCUUCUGGCCUACUCUAUGUGACAGUGCUUGGGACUAUAAGAUUCUAUCAGCAUUUGUCAACAUUUCACAUCAAAUCAAAGUUUGUCACAUGUGCCAAAUACAAAUACAGGUGUAGACCUUACAGUGAAAUUCUUACUUACAGGCCCUAACCAACAGUGCAAUUUUUAAGUAAAAAAUAGGUAUCAAGUGAACAAUAGAUAAGUAAGGAAAUAGAAAUCAACAGUAAAAAGACAGUGAAUAAUAACAGUGGCGAGGCUAUAACAGUAGCGAGGCUAUAGUCGGGCUAAUUGAGGUAGUAUGUACAUGUAGGUAUGGUUAAAGUGACUAUGCAUAUAUGAUAAACAGAGAGUAGCAGUGGCGUAAAAGAGGGUAUUUUUUUUAUUUUAUUUUUUAUUUAUUUUUUAAGUCAUUUUAGCAGACGCUCUUAUCCAGAGCGACUUACAGUAGUGAAUGCAUACAUUUCAUACAUUUUUUUAAAAAAUUUCUGUGCUGGCCCCCCGUGGGAAUCGAACCCACAACCCUGGCAUUGCAAACACCAUGCUCUACCAACUGAGCUACAGGGAAGGCUAGGGGGGUUGGGGGGUUGGUAGGUAGUCCGGGUAGCCAAUGUGCGAGGGCACCGGUUAGUCGGGCUAAUUGAGGUAGUAUGUACAUGAAUGUACAGUAUAGUUAAAGUGACUAUGCAUAUAUGGUAAACAGAGAGUAACAGCACUGUAAAUGUUGUGCUCUAUUCAAUGUUCUCUACCUAUAUAGUACUCGAAAUACCCACAUUCGGGUUGUUAAGUUCAAAACAAUACAUGAUAAAAAAUUGCUGACACCAUUCAAACCAAUGAGGGUUUGGAAAUUUAAAGUAAAUUAUCUCAGAAUCAUAUUUUUGCAGAUAGAACCUUACAGUCCCAAGCUUUUGUGGCCACAGUGUGAAUUGAAUGUGCAAUCCUGGAAUUGCUAGGAUAACGUUCUUAUCAACUGACUCACACAGGACCACAGACAGACCUCCAAACUCACUCAACUCACUGAAUAAUGUAAACUGUACAUUAAAAAAUCUUUAUAAUGAAUAUGAACACUACCAUCAUUUCUGAAGGCUUAACCUACCAUUCCCCAUUUGCCUUGUUGAGCAGAAAGCGACCAAUAUUUAGUUCUGUAAUCUCUACCACUACACCAACUUUUUUCUAUAAUGAGCUGAGGUUUAUUACAAAAUGCAGGAACGUUCAACAAGUUCAGUCUAUAUUUGUUGGGAUUCCAAUUUGGAUGGUUAUAGGUUUACUCUUCAGAUGCCAUAAUAUGUUAGUGUCAUCUAUCUAACAAUAGCUCUGUUAUCUCCUGAGUGGGAAUGUGACUCUUCUAGACAUGUCUUUACUGUGAGUUCAGUGACACAUACUGGAGUGCAAUUUUAAGUAGGUGAGGGGUUAAUUUUCACUAAGCAAUAUCUCUGUUUGAUGCCACAUUUGAUACAUUCUUGCCAUCAGUCAAUUGGCUUGCACUGUGUAAACAUAAGCACCUUGUGAUACACUGACACCAAGGUUGAUACUGCAUUGCUAAACAAAUGCAGACCACAGACCAGAGCGACAUUUUAAAAAUCCAUCGGACAGCUCUGAAUCUCACAGUUCGGUUUCGUACUCCAUUAGCUUGGACUGGCCUUGUUAGGCUUGUCUGGUCCACCCAACCCAAUAACUUUACAGAGAUAGAUAGCAGACUCAUCUAUAUAUUUCUGCCAUUAUAGCAUUUGUGACAGCCUGGGCAGCGCCAUUGAUACUACAACCCAUAGGAAUCCCCAUCCAGCUGACUACUUUGACUACUUUAACAUGGCGGAGGCAUGGUGGAAUCCCUCAAUGGCUCUGCCCAUGCAAAAAUGGCCUUUUGGCCACUAGAGGCCUCUCUCAUUCUCUAUGGUCUCCCUCCCAUUUCCCUGGGCAGCAGGCAGCCAGGCCAAAGUGAACCAGCGGACGCCCCAUGUUGGUUCGAGGUGGUAGUGGUAUGAAGUGGUGUGUGCCGGGGUGGAUUGGGGAGUGGUGUGACGAUGAGAGAGGGUUUCCGCUCUAACUCUUUGUUCUCUGUCCCAAGGCCACCGGUUGAGGUGGGGGGGUAAGGGUUGGGGGAGGGGGAGACUGAGGGGAGAGGUGAAAAGUUCACAGCUCCUAGACGGGGGAGGGGAAGGGGGGUGUACAAUGAGGGGGAGGUAGGAAUGUACAUUAACCCCGCUGACUUACUCUGUCACAAUUUACGAUCGUCUCCCUCUGUGCUCAAAAAACAGGAGGGAAUAUAACAACAUAUUUUGUCAGUGAGUGUGCGUGUGUGUCUCUUAUUGUGUGUGUGUGUGCUUGUUAGUGUUUGCGUUUUUCCCUGUCUCUCACGCUCUCACUUACCCUUUCUGGGUGUUAGUAAAUGGCUGUCAAUAUACUGUGGCUGCUGUGGUGUGGAGCGUCUAAUAUUAGCUGGCUGUGUGUGUGUGCUUGUGCGGGCUGAUGGAUGAGAGUGGCUCAAGGUGACAGUGAUAAGGGGUGGUUAGAGAAAGAAAAAUACAGGGAUUCUCUCUCUGCAAUACAAAGAUGAUUUGAGCACCAGACCAACUGUGGACUCCUGCAGCUGCAUGUGAUGUGAUGAUGAGCACACAGAGCAUGUGAUGUCUGUCUGUGACACAGUGAAGGAUUGGCUUAGUAUGGAAACACAUAGGAAUGGACUGAUUGCUUAGUAUGAAAGCACAUAGAAAUUGUUAUCUCUAAGGGUGGACACAGCUAGGCUCUACCUAAUGAAUCUGCAAGAGAAUGUGAGAUAAAGUGAGUAUGUUAUGAGAAAAAAAAGUAUUUACCUAUCACCUCAUGUCUAGGCUAGACACUAUCAUGUUAUACUAUGCUAUAACUGUUUCCAUUAUUAGCUUUUUGUUAUGGAUAUUGAUAUAUUCAAUGGAAAAUAAGAGAAGUAACAAGGUAGCGUGAGAGAGAGAGAGAAUGUGGACAUUGAUUCUGCUGUCAUUGAUUUGUGCCCUCUGCAUGUCGUCCCUCAGCAGUCCCUGUCGCUGCAUUUCUCUCUUUCCUCUCUCCGUCUCUCUCUUUUCAUCUCCUGUUUAAAUUAAAACAUUUACCGGUCCUAAGCUCAUGUUGAUAAGAUAUUUAGACAGGCACAUCACAUAAAAUAGUUUAUAUCUUUCUUUCCCCCUCUCUCUCUCUCUCUCUCUCUCUCUUUCUCUCUCUCUCUCUCUCUCACUCUCUCUUUCUCUGAGUCUGCAUGAACUCAUUCACUCCGUUCCCUCGCCUGCUCUUGCUCACUCCCUCCCUCUCUCCCUAUUCUCUCUCUUGCUCCCUCCCUCUCUCCCUUGCUCCCUCCCUCUCUCCCUAUUCUCUCUCUAGUUCCCUCCCUUCAUGAAACACACUCUCUAUUACCCAGUUGCACAGAGAGGGAUCGAGAGACAGGAACAGCGCUAAGAGGGAAUGGGAGAGGAGAGAAUGCCGGACAUGCUGACCAGAAACGGAUUCAGAUUUUUUUAUUUGGACAGAAAAGGAGCAUGAAAACGGGACAUUAUGACACGGCAGGCUUCCGCUUGUUUUCUCUCUUGGCCAUUGGACACAUGAGGCAGUGGUUCACAUGUGCAAGAUUAGGACACACCGGGAGAAGGGGAGAGAAAGGACACAGAUCAGACUGCGGCAGCCUCAGCAACCAUGACGAGAACGGUGAACUCCAAUCAAGUUGUAGGAACAUCUUAAGGAUGAUCAAUGGAAACAGGAUGCACCUGAGCUAAAUGUUCUGUCUCAUAGCAAAGGGUUUUUGCUUUUGUCAUUAUGGGGUAUCUUUCCUAAUGCGCUGUAUUUUAAGUCAGCCUCAUUCAUGUACUCUAUGACCUGUAUACAAUUUAGAUCAUGUGGUAUGUAGCCUUACAAAAUGUUUGUUA
rnacentral:lncRNA from 1 species